rnacentral:lncRNA from 1 species
GUUUGAGUCUAUGUCUCUCCCAUCAGAAGGGCCCGUGGCCUUUUGUAUAACACUAACUUCCAGGCUGAAAAAUGAUUUUACAUUUAGACCGUUGGCUUCUAGAAGUUCAAAUCAAUUAAGGAAAAAAGGAGAGAGAUUCUCGGACAGACACCAAAGAAGAGACUAUUACUCACCAUCAGAAAUGAGUUAGGAGGUGGCAGACUGGAGAUGCUCUGGUUGCCAUGGAAACUGGUCGUCAGAAGCAAGUGCGGAAGACUAGGGCAACAGGGUGAAAUGGAUGAACUGUUGUGAGCAUCAGCUCGGGUUGCAGUCCAGAAGAGCAUCAGGGUAAAGUGAGGUCUUAGGGAAUUAAAGAUACAUCCACAAACCCUCACUCUUCUUCAGCACCUAAGCGACUCCUUUACCACCAGCUCAGAGAAUUCACAAGCAGAAGUCACGGUGGAUGACAGACAGAAGUCCAGAUAAGAGGAGAGAGCUUUGACUUUCCUUUUGGAGUCAAACUUUGGAGUAAACUUCUUAGGAAUCACUCUUCUGUGGCAGUGUUUUCCAGAACAUACCAGGGUUGUUCAGAUGCCCUCUGAACUGCAAUGCAGGAUGCACCAGGCUGCAUGUGCCCUGUGCUCGGCACAUCUGGAACCACGAGUCUGAGGAGGUCCGCUUGUCUUUUUAUCCUUUCAUGGAUUCAUCUGCCAAAUACAUGUGUCUGUUUCAGGCCAUUUGUACAUAACAAAUUUGACGUUGAUAGGAAGACACAACUCAGAGAUGGCAGUUUCCUCUUCACACCAUGAACCAGGGGUUACAACUUUACAUUCUAACAGAAACACCUUCUGCAUACACGAGGUCUGAUCACUAUGAUAAUUAUUGUUGUUUUGGUCUCAGUUUGUUUGUUUGUUUGUUUUUGAAGAUGGGAGGUAUCGUUCUAUGUUAGACUCUCACCAGGUUAUAGGAAGGCAGAAUUUGUUGUGUGUGAAUAUUUUGAAUUCUGAGAAAUGAGAAGUUAUAGGUUCAGGACCUUUUUGAGUUUCCAAAUAAAGAAAUGCAUAGAUCCGUAAAUGUUUCCCACCCUUGGUGAGAAUGCAUUUGAAAUGCAGGAGCUUCAGUUCUGAUAGGAACUGAUAUUCCUUUGGUAGGCAGGUGAGGCUUUCAGAAAAUGCACUUUCUCUGAACCUCUGUUUUCUGAUCUGUAAUCUGUAGCUCAGAAUGGUACCAACUGGUUAUGUAGAUUUUCUCCUGAAUUGAAACCUUCUCUGUAGAGGGAGGACAGAGAGAUUCUCAGAGCUCACCAGAGAGUUAUAAGAACUUCUCAAGUUAUAAGACUCACAAGGCCCCUCCCUGAAGUGUAGAAGUGCUAACCAGUUGCAGGGCAGAGGGGAUCUUGAGUGGAGCUGCCUACAAGUUGUACAGGGAACUUCGAUGGCACAGGGUUUUGUCCUGAUACAGCUGCCCACAGUGCUGUUGUAAGUAACCCCAGUAGGAUCACAGUUUACCCAGCUACACUCAAAAGAACUGCUUCUUUGGUCUGUUGUUGGUGUCCAAUCUGCAGUGAACAGAUGUUUAUUCACCAGGACAUGUCAAGCAAUACCAUGGUGGGAUGCAGUAGGAAAUGAAAGAGAUAUCUGUAAAGUAUCUACAGUGUGCUGAGACAGAUGAGAGGGAAGGUUUUAGCAUCUCUCUCUCUCUCUCUCUCUCUCUCUCUCUCUCUCUCUCUCUCUCUCUCUCCUUUAAUUUUAAUGGUCAGUACUUCUGUAGUGUGACCAUAGGGAGAGCAUUUAUGAAUCAGUAUAGAUCAGAGUUUUCUUUUUAGUCUCUCUGGGGCUGCUGAUUGGGCACAUCCUGUGAUAUCUCACAUCAUGCUCUCCUUGGUCAGCAGACAUCAUCAUGUAGAACUGAUGACAUCCAUUGCGUUUCUAAAACACUCAGCUCAGCAUUAACCACAGACAGCAAAGCAAAUGUAAACAGAUUUAGAAUGGCGACUUCACUAAUACUUCCAAUGAUCACAUGUAAAAUCUGAAGAAAGUUUCUGUCUGGUCAACGUAGACCUUUUAAAAGCAGACAGUAGGCCAAGUAUGGUGGCAUAUGCUUUUUGUCCCAGCAUUUGGUAGACAGAAGCAUGUAGAUCUUUGUGAGUUCCAGGUCAGCUAGGAAUGCAUAUUGAAACACCCAUCUUAAAGAAGGAAGAGGAAAAAGAGGAGGAAAGGAGGAGGAGGAAGAGGGGGAGGAGAAGGAGGUGGAGGGAGAGGAAGAGGAGGAGGAAGAGAAGGAGGAAGAGGAGGAGAAGAAAGAAGAGGAAGAGAAGGAGGAGAAGAAGAAAGAGGAGGAGGAGGAAGAGGAGGAGAAGAAAGAAGAGAAAGAGAAGGAGGAGAAGAAGAAAGAGGAGGAGGAGGAAGAGGAGGGGGAAGGAGAGAAAGUUGCUCACAACCAAGCCUUUCUUACCCAUGAAUAGACUUAGAAGAUUAAUGAGGACUCACAUGGCAGAAGUUUGACUCCUGUCACUGAAGAAAACACUUUCACUUUCCACCUUGAGAUAAUUUUAACCAGGUGCUAGGGAUGCAGCUCAGCUGGUAGAAGCCAUGGGUUCCAUCCCCAGAACCACAAACAACGAGGCAUGGUAGCACACACCUGUAACCCUAGCAGAAAGCUGAAGGAUUAAAAAUUCAAGGACAUCUUUGGUUACAUAGCAAGUUCUAGGACAUCUUGGACUACACAAGGCUCCAUCUAAAAAACAAACAAACAAACAAACAAACAAACAGAUAAUGUUAAACACAACAGCUUUCUUAAUAGACUAAGGGUUGGAUGCAUAGCUCUUGUGCCCACACUGAAGAUACUGAGAUUUCCUCAGAAAGCCAGUUUCCAGAGUGGCUCUUAUCUCAGAGCACAGAUGUAUAUGAUCUUAUGCAAGAAAAGUGGACCAGUGUCUCUGAGGUCAUCAUGACACCACAUCUGUUCUCACACUUGUCUCAGCUGGUCCAUUUCCUGUUACCCGUCUGAUGCAAGUGAGAAAAGCUCUAUUUACAAACUAAAUUCUCCCUCCCUCCAUCCCUCCUUCCCUCCCUCCCUCCUUUCUAUUCCCACAUCUUUCUUUUUCUUAGUCAGCCCCCCC